rnacentral:lncRNA from 1 species
AAAAGACUCAUUCCACAGAGAUCAUAGCAGAAAAAUAAAAACUACAAGCUACUCUGAAGAGAUAAGGUGAAACUGUGACUGAAAUUUCCCCAGGAGUUUGCCGUAACUUGUAUCCACACAUACUAUAUCAGCCUCUAUUCUUUAAACUCCCAUGACUCACUUCCUUAGCUUAUGUAGCUACGUUUUCCUCUGUCAGUACCUGAUAAAAUUAACAGGACAGUAUUACAGAUUAUCCCUACACUGGGUUUGUGCAAAGGCGCAAUGGCCAGAUAUUCUGUGCUGCACUUUCCAAAGAAGUAAAUUUACAGCCACUUGUCUUCUUGUUGAUGUUGUUAUUGUUUAGAGAGAGUGCUUUGAUCAGCAGACUCCUACAGUAUGCGUAGAUCUGCUGUGUGUGUGUGUGUGUGUAUGGGGAAGGAUUUAAGAAGUUUGAAAGAGGGUUCCAUGUUCUAUUCAUCAUCUAAUUUCCCACAGUGCUCACAAAACAACUUCAUGAAAAGAGCUGGAGUAAUGCAUAUAGCUUCAAGGAUGAAGACCACAGUCCCCAGCCUCCUUAUAACCAACCUGUCUGUUCAAAUCCAUUCUCUUCAAGAAAAUAAGAACAAUAUUUAUGUGUGCAGCUUCCAGCCCAUCAUCCAGUUCCCUGUCUUCUGAAAGGUGUACCCUGAUUUUGCUCUGAGGAAUCAUCCCUGUCCUGCCUUUCAGCCCAUGUUUUUCUGGUAAGGCUUCACAUUUGCUCCUCAGUUGAGUGUGGGAAUAAAGUCUGAUCAAUCUGAGCAUCCAGUUCUUUAGAUUCAUUGAUAUAUGUAAGAAUGGGCAAUGAAAUAAAAUGAAAUGCAAUGAGAUUUUUGUUAGAAGUGUUGGAGGACAAGUACACUAUCUUCCUCACUGUUUUGAACCAUUUAAAUAUAAACUUGAAGCUCCUGUAGUCAUCAAAGUCAGAUAAAAGAGAGAGGCUAGAGAAGGAUCAGGUCAUGAUGACAUAAUCUGAACCCUUGAAAGAAGCCUUUCCUAUAGUUAACCCAACUCUCAAACUGUUCAGUCACGUAAACUAAUGUAGUUUAAAGUCAGUGUGAAUUGUGUAGUUUCUUGUUUAAGUCAUUGUGAGUUGAGUUUCUGUCCUUGAAUCAAAGGAGUCUAAACCCUUGACUACCUGCAAGGUUUACAUAUUCUAAAAUACAAUGUAAACCUGUAUCUGGGGAGUUCUUAGUAAUUUUCCAAAAUACCUCUAUAGUUUUCAUUGUCAUCUACACAGAUUAGUAAGAG